rnacentral:rRNA from 1 species
CAGUAGCCGCGGGAAUACGUAGGGUGCGAGCGUUAAUCGGAAUUACUGGGCGUAGAGCGAGCGCAGGCGGUUUUGUAAGACAGGCGUGAAAUCCCCGGGCUCAACCUGGGAAUGGCGCUUGUGACUGCAAAGCUAGAGUGCGGCAGAGGGGGAUGGAAUUCCGCGUGUAGCAGUGAAAUGCGUAGAUAUGCGGAGGAACACCGAUGGCGAAGGCAAUCCCCUGGGCCUGUACUGACGCUCAUGCACGAAAGCGUGGGGAGCAAACAGGAUUAGAUACCCGCGUAGUCCCUGUCUCUUAUAC